rnacentral:rRNA from 1 species
AUUGAACGCUGGCGGCAGGCUUAACACAUGCAAGUCGAGCGGGGGAAGGUAGCUUGCUACCGGACCUAGCGGCGGACGGGUGAGUAAUGCUUAGGAAUCUGCCUAUUAGUGGGGGACAACAUCUCGAAAGGGAUGCUAAUACCGCAUACGUCCUACGGGAGAAAGCAGGGGAUCUUCGGACCUUGCGCUAAUAGAUGAGUCUAAGUCGGAUUAGCUAGUUGGUGGGGUAAAGGCCUACCAAGGCGACGAUCUGUAGCGGGUCUGAGAGGAUGAUCCGCCACACUGGGACUGAGACACGGCCCAGACUCCUACGGGAGGCAGCAGUGGGGAAUAUUGGACAAUGGGCGGAAGCCUGAUCCAGCCAUGCCGCGUGUGUGAAGAAGGCCUUUUGGUUGUAAAGCACUUUAAGCGAGGAGGAGGCUACUUAGAUUAAUACUCUGGGAUAGUGGACGUUACUCGCAGAAUAAGCACCGGCUAACUCUGUGCCAGCCGCCGCCGUAA